GUCCCCAUCGUCUAAUCAGGACAAGGACACUGGCCCCUCAAGCCGGGAAUUGCGGGUUCGAGCCCCGCUGGGGACG
rnacentral:tRNA from 1 species